GCAUGCCUACAACAUAGCGUUAAUGCAUCAGAUUCCAUUAGAACUCUGUAGUUAAGAACGCUUAGGAUAGAGUAGUACUAGGAUGGGUGACCACCCAAGAAGUCCUAGUGUUUUACAUGCC
rnacentral:rRNA from 1 species